rnacentral:tRNA from 1 species
CCUUCGAUAGCUCAGUUGGUAGAGCGGUGGACUGUAGAGGCAUUCAAUUGAUAUCCAUAGGUCGCUGGUUCAAAUCCGGCUCGAAGGA